AGUGAACGCUGGCGGUAGGCCUAACACAUGCAAGUCGAACGGCAGCACCGUACGAGCUUGCUCUUACGGGUGGCGAGUGGCGGACGGGUGAGGAAUACAUCGGACUCUACUUUUUCGUGGGGGAUAACGUAGGGAAACUUACGCUAAUACCGCCUACGACCUACGGGUGAAAGCAGGGGAUCUUCGGACCUUACGCGAUUGAAUGAGCUGAUGUCGGAUUAGCUAGUUGGCGGGGUAACGGCCCACCAAGGCGACGAUCCGUAGCUGGUCUGAGAGGAGGAUCAGCCACACUGGAGGUGAGACACGGUCCAGACUCCGACGGGAGGCAGCAGUGGGGAAUAUAGGACAAUGGGCGCAAGCCUGAUCCAGCCAUACCGCGUUGGUGAAGAAGGCCUUCGGGUUGUAAAGCCCUUUUGUUGGGAAAGAAAAGCAGCAGGUGAAUACCCCGCUGUUCUGACGGUACCCAAAGAAUAAGCACCGGCUAACUUCGUG
rnacentral:rRNA from 1 species